GAGGUCACACCCGUUCCCAUACCGAACACGGAAGUUAAGCUCUCUAGCGCCGAUGGUAGUUGGGACCUUGUCCCUGUGAGAGUAGGACGUCGCCAAGC
rnacentral:rRNA from 3 species